ACGUGGCCUCGUGCGCGGCCACUGACCCUCGUCGCCUCGCCGAGGCCCGCAAUUAACUAAUCCCCAAAUCCAAAUCUCUUCCCUCCUAAUCUCUCUCUCGUCUCCCCCUCUCGCCGUCGCCGAAAGGCCAAUUCUCUCUCCACCGCGUCGUCAUCGUCAUGCCCCGCCUUUUUCUAUCCCCCACUAGGGUCUUCUGGAUCGGCCCCGAUCCUUCCAGACACUUCCACCCCCCCGCUAUAAAAGGCCGGCGAGCGCCACCAGACCCACCAUCAGCGCUCGCACGCACGCACCCAACAACCCCCGUUCUGGCUGGAUGGUGGCCGGAGCUCGCGGAGGACUCGAGAUAUGCAUGUGGCGGCACCGAGCAUGAGGCAACAACUGCAUUACUUGCGGGGAAGGCGCAAGUAGGACACCUGCAUUACUUGCAAACAAGGCGCAAAAUUAAUAGAAGAUCACCAUACUUGUGGCUUUCUUGCAAGUCGUGCAGUUGCUGCCUCAAGCUUGCUGCCUCCCUUUGCCAAAGCUAUCAGAAAAAACAUAAAGUUCUGUUAGUUUCCCUAAACUUUAAAAACAUAAAGUUCUGUUAGUUUCCCUAAACUUUAAAACAUGUUCUACAAAAUUGAUCUAGAAAUGAUUGGCUUACUGUGCUAAUUUAAAGCAAUAUAAUUACUCGACAACUGCAUAUGCACAUGUUAGAAGCAAGGCAGUAGAAUACUUAUGUUUUCAUCUACUGGCAGGUAGCAACAUGUAUAGAUAUAUCACUCUGAAUUGAGUUAUGGACCAAACAUUAAGAAUUGCUCACUUUGUUGGCACAUCGCAUCUGUGAAAUUGCAUAUAAAUUUAUGUAUAGCCAGUGCUCUCAGGGUAUGAAUUCAAAUAUUUUGGUGAAAACAGAAUUGCUGCUGUAAUAAUUUUAAAAAUAUUAUGCACACGGAGGAUUUUUAGUGUAAUGGUGUGGCUGCACACCUAUAAGCCUCCACCUUGCCCUUACCCUCUCUUCUAACCAUUUAAUUUAAGUAAUCCCAACUAGUUCAAGCCUUACUGUA